UACGGAGGGUGCAAGCGUUGUCCGGAAUCACUAGGCGUAAAGGGCGCGUAGGCGGCUCAUGAAGGCUGUGGUGAAAGUCCGGGGCUCAACCUCGGAUCGGCCGUGGCGACUCGUGGGCUGGAGCACUGUAGAGGCGGGUGGAAUUCCGGGUGUAGCGGUGGAAUGCGUAGAGAUCCGGAAGAACACCAGUGGCGAAGGCGGCCCGCUGGCAGUGGCUGACGCUGAGGCGCGACAGCGUGGGGAGCAAACGAGGAC
rnacentral:rRNA from 1 species